AGGAGUGGAGCCUGCGGCUUAAUUUGACUCAACACGGGAAACCUCACCAGGCCCGGACACCGGAAGGAUUGACAGAUUGAGAGCUCUUUCUUGAUUCGGUGGGUGGUGGUGCAUGGCCGUUCUUAGUUGGUGGAGCGAUUUGUCUGGUUAAUUCCGAUAACGAACGAGACUCUAGCCUGCUAACUAGGCGUAUUUCGACAUCCCAAAGGCCCGCCGGUUCGCGCGCGCGCGCGCGCGCGCUGGGUUUCGGCUCCGCGCGCGCGUCGUCGUCGUCGCGCGUUACCGCGCGCGGUUUUUACUGUCGGCGUACAAACAAUUCUUCUUAGAGGGACAGGCGGCUUCUAGCCGCACGAGAUUGAGCAAUAACAGGUCUGUGAUGCCCUUAGAUGUUCUGGGCCG
rnacentral:rRNA from 1 species